rnacentral:lncRNA from 1 species
GCAAUAUUUCCAAGUGGAAACUCUGAUUUACUGCAAACCUUGAGGAAAGCCUACUUCCAUUAAUUUCCCAGAGUGACUCCCAGACCCAUGAGGGUUGCAUGCGUGCGUAACAUUGAAACUUUUGGCGGUCUGACCACUGCCCGUCAAAAUCCCAUGAGCCAGUUUGGCUCUUUGCUGACCGGUUGAGACACGUGAAGCAGGUUGUAUGUCGUGAUAUCCCACCUUGUGGGCCAUGGAGGCGUUUUGAGAGACCUGGGACUUCAGGAUCCAGCAGGAGCCCUCCCUGGCAAGGUCCAUCACUGCGCAAAGGGGCAUGCACGACAAGCUCUCCCCAUGCCGAGCCACUUACCGUGGAGUCUGCCCCGUCCAGCACGUUUUGUAUCAGUCUUUUCAGCUCACUGAGAGCUGCACGUAGGCUGCCAGCGGGGACAUCUUUGGCUGAUGAGGUUUCUGAAGACUCAUCCAUGGAAGAGUCUGUGGAGACCGCGGAGUCUGCGCUGUCGUUCCCGCGGAGGUGGGAGCAGAGGUACCGCACUUGGCAAUAAGCUUCCCAGAGUUGCAACCUUAGCUGCAAUGAGAGAGCCUGAUGUUAGCCCACGACGUCAAGGCCACGGAGAGUCUGCUUCCAUGGUGUAACGAUGCGUGUGAUUGCUGAAGCAUGCCAAUAUUCGUCUAGUUUACUUUGCUGACUUUGAAAUGGAUGCAGAGACUUCCAUAAGGUCAAAAGGGUGUUGCUGUUGGAGCUGGGCCUGACCCUGGGUUCAGCUACAAAGCCAACGUGUUAAACUGUCUCUCCCUCUUCUCUAGGGGCCCUUUCUUACCCUGCAGAUGUGGAGCUCGUGUCCUGUACGCUUAGGGGAAUGUGCAUGCAGUGGUGUCAUGCGGAAAACAAAAGUUGGUGUGUCUAAGGCAUGGGUUACCCUGGUGGGUUUCCCUGCUGCCAUCAAGAGCAGCUUUGCAGACGCGGUGCUCCUCUGCCUCCAUGCUCUGCUCAAUCUCGGAAAGCAGGGACGUGCUGUUUGUGUUGAAGUUUUGGAGACUUCGCUCCUCACUGAGCUCUUCGACCUUCCCCUGCAGCUGCCGAUAGGACAGCCGCACCUCCUGGAGCUCCAGCUGGCUCUGGUGCAGCUUCCAGAGGAAACCGAGCAAUUUGCCAAAGAAGCAGAAGAAAAAAUGAAUGUUAGUGGAGAAGAUAUGGACUGGGAGGAUCUCUGCUUGUGAAGGACUGAGAGGAAGGAACGGGUGGCACUAAAGAGGGUUUCCAGCUGGGAGGAACUAACAGUAGUAGGCCAAGCUUAAAAAAAAAAAAAGAAAAGGCCUACUAACAGUAGUCUUGACUGGUUUUACUAGUUAUUGGAUCUUGACAAUCCUCACAUGUUAUUAGACACUGUUUCAUCUUCAUAAUAUGCUGAAAGAUAAAAUUACUGCAUUAAUCAGGGCUAAAGUGAGGAACAUUGUGAAGAACUUGGGACUCAGUCAAGAAAAUUUGCUAAAACUAACACAGCAGGAAAUGAAUCCAAAAAGAAAAGUAAUAUCUGCACAAGUGUCUCAAAAGAUAUAGCUAUGCAAAUACAUACAUACACACACACACAAACACACAUAUAUAUAUGAAUUCUGAUCAGCUAAAUCCUAACACCCAAAAUUCAGAUGUCAAAACUCCAAAACCCAUAUUUCGCUGUUUUGAAAUCUGAGUUACUUGAGUGCUUGAAACACUCAAGAGCCAGCGCGGGCGUUGAUUUGUUUUAGAGUUUAUCUGUGGUCAGGGGACUGUAGAAUUCUGUAAGCAGUAAAUUACGAUUUGUCUAGGUGGGAAUAGUCGCUGCUGUGAAGGGCCAGAAGCUAAUGGUGUGGAAGUGGGGUUGGCAAGCAAGCGCGGGGUGCAAUGAGGUGCUGCGUGAGUAGCGCUCACACAAGUCCAGCAGAGGUGAGCACCCCGGGGCUGGUGGACAUUGGGGAGGACCAUGUAGUCUGGCACACUCACAGGUUCCUCAUUUCUCUGGGGAGGGCAAAAAGGAUUCAGCGGCUGUUUUGGAGAGGGAAAAGGCUUAGAUGAUGCUUGGGUGGAGGGCACCAGAGGCCAUCUUUACAAAUGCUGGCCAGUGGGAAGGGAGCUGGGAGCACCUCUUGCGGUCUUCCUCACACGUGGGAAUGGAGAGGAACAUUUACAACCAGUCCCAAAGACUUAAGCUGCGACUAUAUAAUCACUUAACACCAGGGCAAG